rnacentral:rRNA from 1 species
GACGAACGCUGGCGGCGUGCUUAACACAUGCAAGUCGAACGGAAACGCCCGGCUUUGUUGGGCUCCUCGAGUUGCGGACGGGGGAGUAACACGUGAGUAACCUGUCCUUGCCUGUGGGAUGACUUCAUAAAAGUUGGGCUAAUACCGGCAAAGAUCUCUUGCCGCAUGGUGGGGGUGCGAAAGUUUCGGCGGUUGGGUGUGGACACGCGUCUUAUCGCGUUGUUGGGUGGGUAGUGUCUGACCAUGCCUUGGACGCGUAGCCGGGCUGAGCGGGUGACCGGCCCCAUUGGGCCUGGGAUGCGGCCCAGACUCCUACGGGAGGCAGCAGUGCGGUGUGUUGCACAAUGGGCGGAAGCCUGGUGUAGCACCGCCGUGUCGGGGAUGAGGGCAAUCGGGUAGUAAUCCGCUUUCCCCUGUGCCGAAGCGUGAGUGACGGUAAUGGGUAAAGAAGCACCGGCUAACUCCGUG